ACAGUGCUAAUGAAGGAUGCUAUUAACCCUACAUUAAUGCAGACUCUUGAGGGAACCCCAGUUCUUGUUCAUGCUGGUCCUUUUGCAAACAUUGCGCACGGGAAUUCCUCUAUUGUGGCCGAUAAGAUUGCACUGAAACUGGUAGGACCAGGUGGGUUUGUAGUCACAGAAGCUGGUUUUGGUGCUGAUAUUGGUACUGAGAAGUUCAUGAACAUAAAAUGCAGAUAUAGUGGUUUAACACCACAAUGUGCAGUUAUAGUUGCAACUAUAAGGGCCUUGAAAAUGCAUGGUGGGGG
rnacentral:lncRNA from 1 species